AUGAAAGAAGCUCCUUGUCUUGCAACCCAGGAAUCCCCCUUGGGCACAAGAUUAUUAGGUUGCUUGACCCAGCAGCUCGGCUUUCCUAGGUUCAGGACUCGUGCUCACUCUCUUGCUGUCUUUUCUUCUCACUGGAGGAGGCUGUUCCAUAACGACUCUAACCCUUGGAACAUCCAUGCUGUCUGGUUCGACCUUCCUUUUUCCAUCGUCUUUUUCCUUUUGGUCAUCUGUCGUAAAUUUCAUAAACAGCCCUUCAGCUCGCAUGAACUUCUGACGCUUUCUGGCAGCCUCCGUGUUCCUGUUCCCAGGCAGAGGUGCACCGAGGGUCCCUGCUUCACCUCCCCGGGGCGAUGCCUGGCUCCCCAACCCUCUGAGGGAGCCCAGAGCCGUCCUUUGCCCAUUCCUCCAGGGCAGUUUCACCGCUGGAGGUGUGCAGGCCACCAGGGAGGCCGCGUGGCCCUGACCCAGGUGUCUGGGUGGCUAGGCCAUCAAGUUUCCCGUCUGGUUGCUUUUCUUUUUCCCUUGCGGCCCUCUCCUGUCUUCCUCCGUAUUUAUUUUGUAAAAAAAUUGUGAAAGUGUGCCGACUCUGAGUAUGAAGUGAAUUUUUACAGCCCGACCGUAAAUUCCAAAAUCUGGGGGGUUUAUAAUGGAAACGCUUAGAGGGGGAGAGGGGAGGGCGCGCUAUAAUACAUAUGUAACCUUUUUUCCCUCUCUUUAGUGAAUAGACCGUUUAAACUAAAUUAAGUAAAGGAUAUAAAUUCUGUUGUUUCAGUUUUUAAUAUUUCAUGGCUGAUUUUAUAGAUAAAAAUUACAUUUAACAGUAAAUAUGAAGAAGAAUUUAUACAGCCUGUUCUAGUUUGAUAUGGAACAGCAAAUCCCAUUUCUCUGUAGCUGUAAAGAAAAUUCAUUAUAAUGUCUUUGGUUGUAAGAGAUGGCUUCAUUGUGAUUAGUUACACUGAUAAUAAAACAACCUUUUUACAAAUGGCA
rnacentral:lncRNA from 1 species